rnacentral:rRNA from 1 species
GACGAACGCUGGCGGCGUGCUUAACACAUGCAAGUCGAACGCUGAAGACCUGGCUUUUGUUGGGUUGGAUGAGUGGCGAACGGGUGAGUAACACGUGAGUAACCUGCCCUCUUCUUUGGGAUAACGCCCGGAAACGGGUGCUAAUACUGGAUAUUCACUGGCCUUCGCAUGGGGGUUGGUGGAAAGGUUUGUUCUGGUGGGGGAUGGGCUCGCGGCCUAUCAGCUUGUUGGUGGGGUGAUGGCCUACCAAGGCUUUGACGGGUAGCCGGCCUGAGAGGGUGACCGGUCACAUUGGGACUGAGAUACGGCCCAGACUCCUACGGGAGGCAGCAGUGGGGAAUAUUGCACAAUGGGCGAAAGCCUGAUGCAGCGACGCCGCGUGAGGGAUGGAGGCCUUCGGGUUGGAAACCUCUUUCGCUCAUGGUCAAGCCGCAACUGUGGGUUGUGGUGAGGGUAGUGGGUAAAGAAGCGCCGGCUAACUACGUG